rnacentral:rRNA from 1 species
UACGUAGGGUCCAAGCGUUAUCCGGAUUUACUGGGUGUAAAGGGCGAGUAGACGGUAUGACAAGUCAGAUGUGAAAACUUAGGGCUCAACCUUAAGACUGCAUCUGAAACUGUCAAACUAGAGUACAGGAGAGGAAAGUGGAAUUUCCGGUGUAGCAGUGAAAUGCGUAGAGAUCGGAAGGAACAUCUGUGGCGAAGGCGACUAUCUGGGCCAACACUGACACUGAGGCACGAAAGCGUGGGGAGCAAACAGG